rnacentral:rRNA from 1 species
ACUACGGGUGGCUGCAGUGGGGGAUAUUGCACAAUGGGGGAAACCCUGAUGCAGCGACGCCGCGUGUGGGAAGACGGUCCUCUGGAUUGUAAACCACUGUCCCCAGGGACGAAGAUGACGGUACCUGGGGAGGAAGCUCCGGCUAACUACGUGCCAGCAGCCGCGGUAAUACGUAGGGAGCGAGCGUUGUCCGGAAUUACUGGGUGUAAAGGGAGCGUAGGCGGGACUGCAAGUUGGGUGUCAAAUCUACCGGCUCAACCGGUAGCCGCACUCAAAACUGCAGUUCUUGAGUGAAGUAGAGGCAGGCGGAAUUCCUAGUGUAGCGGUGAAAUGCGUAGAUAUUAGGAGGAACACCAGUGGCGAAGGCGGCCUGCUGGGCUUUUACUGACGCUGAGGCUCGAAAGUGUGGGGAGCAAACAGGAUUAGAUACCCGAGUAGUC